UGAAAUUUUCCUGAUUAUAUUCAUGAUCCUGCUGAACUUGAUCUGGUGUCUGCCUAUUUGAAAAAGUUGGUGUUUCUCCCUGUCUUUACAGAUUGCCUUUUUAUCACCAGUCAGACUCUACAUGUAUUCAGAAUUAUCUGGCCAUGGGGGUUCAUGGGAAGGGUGAGCUGGAACUUGGAGUAAUAGGCAAGACAUUGGCUUCCACUCCCCAUCCCUACUCGUUGCUGGCUGGAAUGUAGAAGAGGUAGAGAAAUAUCUUGGAUCACAGAGCAUCUUCCCAUUGGCAGAGCAACAAAGCAGAAGUACCCUCCAUGCCCUAUUCCACAAAUAAGUUGUUGGCUUAUAGUGUUUACCAUGUUCUCUAUUUCCUCUUCAGUCUUCUGUCUAGUGGUUAGAUCCAUUACUGAAAGUUGGUUCUUUUUGUCUCUAAUUAUUACUGUCAAAUUUUCUACUUUGUUUUCGUUUCAGUCAGUUUUUGUUUUAUGCAUACUGUGAUUAUGCUGCUAAAUGCAUAUAUUUUAAUAAAUGUUUUAUCUUCUUGACUUUUUAAACCUUUUAUAAUUAUAAGAUACCCCUUUUAUCUAGUAAUUAUUUUUGGUCUUGAAGUCUCUUUUACUUGAUGUUAAGAUAGCUAUUAUCGGUUACAGUUUUUAAAAUAUCCUUUUUAAAUCUAUCAUUUUACUUUCGUUCGAUUUGUGUGUUUAAAUCUAAUGCGUGUCUUCUGCAUACAGUGUAACAUCAGACCAUUUAAAAAAAAUUCAUUCUGUCAACCUCUACCUUUUCACAGUGUUCAAUCUAUUUACUUUGGUUGUAGUUAUUAAUAAGGUAAGAUUUAUAUCUGCCAUUUUAUUUGUUUUUAUAUACUGUAUGUCCUUUUUAUUAUUUUAUUCCUCAAUUAUUGCACUCUCUUAUGUUAAAUAAAUAUUUUCUACUGUGCUACUUAAAUUAUACUGUCAUUUAUUUUAUUUUAUUUUUGUUAUUUUCUUAGUAGUUGCCCUAGAAAUUAAAAUAGCCAUCUGAAUUUAUAACAAUCUAGUUUAGAUUAAAUCCAAGGUGAUUUAACAUAUAUAAAAAUUUGCUUUUGUAUAUUCCUAUUUUCGCCCUCAUUUGUGCUACUAUUUUUAUACUUAGUACAUAUUUACUCAUUUAUAUAUCACAUGUGGAAGAAAAAGUUACAAAAAUAAAUACAGCUGUACUGUAUUUUGUGUUUACUUUUGUAGUUACUUUUACCAAAGCUCUUCAUUGUAUUGUGUGGACUUGAAUUUUUUUUCUAGUGUCCAUGAGUUUAAAGGAUUUUCUCAAUAUUUCUUUCAGGACAGAUAUGCUGGGUAUAAAUUUUCCUGUUUUAUGUUUAAAUGAGAAUGUCUUAAUUUCUUUCAUUUUGAAGUAUAAUUUUACUGUGUAUAGAGUUCUUGGCUGACUGUUUUUUUUCAGCAUUUUGCAUUUAUCAUCCCAUUGUCUUCUGAUCUUUAUGGCUUCUGAUGAAAAAUCGGCUAGUAAUCUUAUUAAGGAUGCCUUGAUGAGUUGCUUCAAUAUUCUCUCUUUGACUUGCAUUUUGACAGUUUGACUGUGAUGUGUUUCAUUGACUAUGAUGUGUUUCAUUGUGGAUGCUUUGAAUUUUUCAUACUGGAGUUUAUUGCAUUUCUUGGAUGUGUAUGUUCAUGUCUUUCAUCAAAUAUGUGAUGUUUUUGAUUAUUAUUUCUUCCAUACUUUUUCUGUCCCCUUUUCUUUCUCAUCUCCUUAGGAGACUCUUCAUCAUGUGUAUCCUGGAAUGCUUUCAGUGUCCCAGGGGUCUCUGAGGCUUUGCUCUUUCCCUUUUAAAAUUAUUUUUCUGUUAUUUUUUUAACAAAAUAAAUAUUUUAAUUAACCCAUCUUCAAAUUCACUGAUUCUUUCUACACUAUCUUAUAUCUUCUGCUGAAUUACUCUAGUGCAUUUUUAUUUCAGUUAUUGUAAUUAUCAACUCCAGAAUUGCUAUUUUUUUGGUAAUUUAUAUGUCUUUAUUGAUAUUGUUUAUUUGGUUAGACAUUACUCUCAUACUUUCC
rnacentral:lncRNA from 1 species